rnacentral:tRNA from 1 species
UGGGGUGAAGCCAAAGUAUUGGCCUUCAACUGUUAAUUGAAUGUGUGCUUUUAUAGCUGCCCUAA